GCCGGUGUAGCUCAGUUGGUAGAGCAGCUGAUUUGUAAUCAGCAGGUCGUGAGUUCAAAUCUUACCGCCGGCACCA
rnacentral:tRNA from 1 species